CGUGGGUAACCUGCCCAAGAGAUCGGGAUAACACCUGGAAACAGAUGCUAAUACCGGAUAACAACAGAUGAUGCCUAUCAACUGUUUAAAAGAUGGUUCUGCUAUCACUCUUGGAUGGACCUGCGGUGCAUUAGCUAGUUGGUAGGGUAACGGCCUACCAAGGCGAUGAUGCAUAGUCGAGUUGAGAGACUGAUCGGCCACAUUGGGACUGAGACACGGCCCAAACUCCUACGGGAGGCAGCAGUA
rnacentral:rRNA from 1 species